ACCCGUUAGAAACCACGCGGCCCUCGUCUGAUCUCACAGCUCGUCCUUGUUUGGCCUCAGCUGCAUCAGAGCGCCACUUCUCCCCAGGUUCACCAGAGGAAACACCACUGCACACAAUGCUUUUCCUCCCAGCUGCUGCUCUGUGCUGUCUGUGUUCAGCGCUGGUUGCCAUGGCAGCAGACCUGAUUCAGGAGGAUUUAACAUUGACCAGGGAAGCUGGUCAAACUGUUUCCUUCAGCUGUCGAGGAACUGACCAGUGUGGCUAUGAUUAUGUAUUCUGGUACCAGAAGAAAGACACAGAAACAUUCAGAGUGAUUCUAGAUAUAAACAGAAAUACUGGUAGCAUAGAUUCAGGUUACGAUCAUCCUCAGAAAAAUGAUUUCUCUGCUGUGAGAAAACAGAACGGCUGUGAGUUGCAGCUCAAGAACGUUAAACCCUCUCAUUCAGCCACCUACUACUGCUCCUGUGUGAAGGUUGAUCUCCACAGUGAGGACAAACUAGCAGCACAGAAGCACAAUGAGCAAACAAGAUAAAGAGGAAACAGCUUUCAGUAGAUUU